ACCCACAGCCAUGUCACCCUGCAGCCCAAGACUGGUUACUCACAGAAGCUAAGCAGGACUGAGCCUGGUCAGUACCUGAAUUGGAGACCACUAGGGAACACUAGGUUGCUGUUGGAA
ensembl:rRNA 5S_rRNA 5S ribosomal RNA